GACGUAGGGGGCGAGCGUUGUCCGGAAUUACGUGGGCGUAAAGGGCGCGUAGGCGGCUAGGCACGUCGGAUGUGAAAGGCCCGGGGCUCAACCCCGGAACGGCAUCCGAUACGGCUUUGGCUCGAGACCGGGAGAGGAGGGUGGAAUACCCAGUGUAGAGGUGAAAUUCGUAGAUAUUGGGUGGAACACCGGUGGCGAAAGCGGCUCUCGUGGCCCGGUUCUGACGCGUGAGGCGCGAAAGCGUGGGGAGCAAAGCGGG
rnacentral:rRNA from 1 species